UUGAAAGGGAAACGAUUGAAGUCAGUCGUACCAGCGGGAAAUCAACCUUUCGAGNGGGGGUUUUGGAGUUUUGAAGAGUGUCAAAACCUUUGAGAUUUCAAAAUUUUCGCUCCUUUGGUGUACUUUCUCGUGGGUAGGUUAACAUCGAUUUUGAUCAUCAUAAAAAGAUUGGAGGAAUGUAGCUUCGAUCUUGUAUUGAAGUGUUAUAGCCUUUGGUAAAUGUGAUGAUUAGGAUCGAGGAUUGCAACGAAUACCCUUUUGGGCUAUCCGCCUGAUCUCUGAUACGUGGCCUUGGUAUCGAAAGCGUGCUUAUGGUAUUGAGGUAUUACGGUCAAAAGGUUAGAACGGAUUACAUUCGUUAAGGAUGUUGACGUA
rnacentral:rRNA from 1 species